rnacentral:rRNA from 1 species
UCCUGACUGACCGAUAGUGAACCAGUACCGUGAGGGAAAGGCGAAAAGAACCCCGGCGAGGGGAGUGAAAAAGAACCUGAAACCGUGUACGUACAAGCAGUGGGAGCACGCUUAGGCGUGUGACUGCGUACCUUUUGUAUAAUGGGUCAGCGACUUAUAUUCUGUAGCAAGGUUAACCGAAUAGGGGAGCCGAAGGGAAACCGAGUCUUAACUGGGCGUUAAGUUGCAGGGUAUAGACCCGAAACCCGGUGAUCUAGCCAUGGGCAGGUUGAAGGUUGGGUAACACUAACUGGAGGACCGAACCGACUAAUGUUGAAAAAUUAGCGGAUGACUUGUGGCUGGGGGUGAAAGGCCAAUCAAACCGGGAGAUAGCUGGUUCUCCCCGAAAGCUAUUUAGGUAGCGCCUCGUGAAUUCAUCUCCGGGGGUAGAGCACUGUUUCGGCAAGGGGGUCAUCCCGACUUACCAACCCGAUGCAAACUGCGAAUACCGGAGAAUGUUAUCACGGGAGACACACGGCGGGUGCUAACGUCCGUCGUGAAGAG